rfam:Triticum aestivum genome assembly, contig: Triticum_aestivum_CS42_TGACv1_scaffold_064169_1DL
AAAGUACUCCCUCCGUCCCAAAAUUCUUGUCUUAGAUUUGUCUAGAUACAGAUGUAUCAAGUCACAUUUUAGUAUUAGAUACAUCCGUAUCUAGACAAAUCUAAGACAAGAAAUUUGGGACAGAGGGAGUAGUUG